UUAAAAAAUAAGUCUAAUUUUUCAGCUCUAAAAUUGUUUCUGGACUUCUUUCUUUCACACACAUUAUAUUCUCCAAUCUUCUUUUCAUGCAUAUAUAUAUCUGAGUGCCAGAACCUAAAACCACAAAUCCCAUUUCAUAUUCUUCUGGUGUUUUCAGAUAUUGGGUUGUGCUGGAGAUGAGUGAUCCCAAGUAUGGUUACGCUUAUCCACCUCAAGGGCCUUAUCAAGGACCUCCUGUGAUGGCUCCUCCUCAAUAUUAUGCUGCUGCUCCACCACCAAAAAGAGAACCAGGUUUCCUUGAAGGAUGCUUUGCAGCAUUAUGUUGCUGCUGUCUCCUGGAUGAGUGUUGCUGCGACCCCUCCAUUUUAUUUGUUACCUGAUAAUACCAUGACCUUUUGUACAAAUUGAAGGAGGAGAUGUUCUUUGUGUUUGAUGUUAUCAAGUAUACACAAAUUUGUAAUAGUACCAAAUACCACUUCAACAAAACACACAUAUACCACCGCAUAUCUAUAGAGUUAUAUUUGUCUAUGAUGGAAUUGGAAUGACAAUACAAUGUUGUAGGACUAUUGAUCACAAUGUGGUG